CUAGGCUUGAACUUCAGGACACACAGCCCCGAGGGUCAACGGGUGGACUCUGUCGUUCCUCUUCUGCUCAGCUCCCGGUUUACUACACACAACGGGCUGGACACUGUACUCCCAGGGCACUCUGGAUGUUAGGAAAUUCAAAGCCAGGCACAGGGGCAGGUGGUGACCUGCAGACCCCAGGGUCAGCUGGAGCCAAGCCCCUAAGGCAGCAUUAGGACAGGCCCAUGUCCCCUUGGAGAGAGAACUGUGAAUCAACAGUCACUCAGGGAAGGAGACGAGCCAGGGACAGUUCUCUUCCUACUGCUCAGCGGACACUCCAUCCAGAGUGGCCAAGGACCAUUCUCUGGCUUCUUCUUUCUUCAUGUCCCUUUUAAAACAGUCCCCAAAGCCAAGCAAGCCUGGGGCCGGGACCCUUUCUGCAUAAGGGCACCCAAGGGGAGGCCAGGAGGCGGGGAGACCACAGGUGCCCAUGCCUCUCUCCAGGAGACAAAUCUGGCACCAGAGCAGCUAGAUACAGAGUGUCGAUCGGUGCAUUCACAAACCCUGAGCUAGACACAGGGUGCUGAUUGCUGUGUUUACAAACCUUGAGCUAGAUACAGAGUGCCGAUUGGUGUAUUUACAAUCCCUGAGCUAGACAUAAAGGUUCUCCAAGGCCCCACCAGAGCAGCUAGAUACAGAGUGUCGACUGGUGCAUUCACAAACCCUGAGCUAGACACAGGGUGCUGAUUGCUGUGUUUACAAACCUUGAGCUAGAUACAGAGUGCCGAUUGGUGUAUUCACAAUCCCUGAGCUAGACAUAAAGAUUUUCCACGCCCCCACCAGACUCAGGAGCCCAGCUGGCUUCACUCAGUGGAUUCCGCACCGGGGCUGCAGGUGGAGCUGCCUGCCAGUCCCGCCCCGUGCGCCCGCACGCCUCAGCCCUUGGGUGGUUGAUGGGACUGGGCGCCAUGGAGCAGGGGGUGGCGCUCAUCGGGGAGGCUCGGGCCGCACAGGAGCCCAUGGAGGGGGUGGGAGGCUCAGGCAUGGCGGGCUGCAGGUCCCGAGCCCUGCCCUGCGGGAAGGCAGCUAAGGCCCGGUGAGAAAUCGAGCGCAGCGCCGGUGGUCUGGCACUGCUGGGGGACCCAGUACACCCUCUGCAGCCGCUGGCCCGGGUGCUAAGCCCCUCAUUGCCCGGGGCCGGCAGGGCCGGCCGCCUGCUCAGAGUGCGGGGCCUGCCAAGCCCACGCCCACCCGGAACUCCAGCUGGCGCGCAAGCUCCGCGCGCAGCCCUGGUUCCCGCUCGCGCCUCUCCCUCCACACCUCCCUGCAAGCUGAGGGAGUUGGCUCCGGCCUUGGCCAGCCCAGAAAGGGGCUCCCACAGUGCAGCGGUGGGCCGAAGGGCUCCUCAAGUGACGCCAAAGUGGGAGACCAAGCAGAGGAGGUGCCAAGAGCAAGCGAGGGGCUGUGAGGACUGCCAGCACGCUGUCACCUCUCACCGGGGCCGAGGAACAGGAGCACCGCAGACCUUCUGGACAGUCAGACUGGCUUUGGAAAUGAUUAAAAGUUGAUCUGGGCCUGGGCAGAAGGGCAUGGCUGUUAGCCAAAGCUGAACUGCAUUCAUCUUCAAAGACUUAAGAGAAGCAGCCCCUUCUACCCUCAGCCACCAGGACCAUUCUGUCACAUUCUGUGGGAGGCUCCUGCUAAUGGAAUGAGGCCACUCACAGAGCUUGGUCAAUUAGCUCUUGCUGAAAACUGCUAACGUGGAACUUUGUCUUCCCAUCGCCCGCAGAAGGUGCCAGGUGCUGCCUUUGUUGUUAAUGCUCCUCCCACCACCCCAUGGAGACUUGAUGGGCCCCAGAUGUGCUGGGUCAGGAUGUUACCACACAGCAGGUGGAUCCUGUCUCUCCAUGAGUGUAUUCGUCCAUUCUGCAGUGCUAUGAAGAAACACCUGAAACUGGGUAAUUUAUAAGAAAAGAGGUUUAAUUGGCUAACAGUUCCACAGGCUGUACAGGAAGCAUGGCUAGGGAGGCCUCAGGAAACUUUCAAUCAUGGCAGAAGGCAAAGGGGAAGCUGGCACGUCUUCCAUGGCCAGAGAGUGAGGAAGAGAGAGAGGAGGGGGAGGGGCUGCACACAUUUAAAUGACCAGAUCUUGUGAGAUCUCACUCGCUAUCACGAGAACAGCAAGGGGAAAGUCCUACCCCAUGAUCCAGUCACCUCCCACCAGGGAGCUCCUCCAAUGCUGAGGAUUACAAUUCAACAUGAGAUUUGGGUGGGGACACAAAUCUAAACUAUAUUGUCACUGGUGGAGGGUUGUGACUGCAGGUUGUCCAGGUUCUUGGCCUAUUGAACAAAGAAUUGGACAAAAUGCCCAGCAAGGCAAAGAAAGAAUGAAGCAACAAAAGAAUGAAAAUGGGGAUUUAUCGAAAACGAAAGUACACUCCAUGGUUUGGGAGUGGACCGAGCAGCAGCUCAAGGGCCCAGAUACGGAAUCUUCUUGGGUCCAAAUAUCCUCUAGAAGUUUCCCAUUGGCCACAUCAUGCUCACCUCAUGUAAAUGAAGUGGUGGCCUGCAAUCAGUCUGAUUGGUUACAGAAAGCAGCCAACCAGAGGCUGAAGUGAAGUUACAAAGGUUACACUCCUGUUCAACCAAUCAGAGACUAGGGUGAAGUUACAAAGUUAUACUUCUAUUGAAACGAAGAUGUGGCCAGCAAUCAGUCUGAUUGGUUGUGGACAGCAGCCAUUCAGAGGCUGGAGUGAAGUUACAAAGUGGCAAACAAAGACUGGACCUUCAAUCAAUCUGAUUGGUUGUGGACAGCCAAUUUCCCAUCUGCCUAGCAGAAAAGGUGAGGGGGUUGCAAAGGGAGUAGCCUGUGGUCCUUUUGUUACUUAGGCAUGGAAAGGUAGGGUUCUGCCUUCAAUUUAGUUCUAGGAAGUCGGUGUGAAACAGGCUUAGGUUCCCUGUGUCCAGACCCUAUUCUCCUGCCUCAAUAUUGGUAUCACCCAAUGAUCACCCAGUGACCAUAACCAAGGAGGAUUUAGCAAUGGGAUUUUGUUACUUGUAACAGGGAACCAGCAGGGACAGUUCCCAAGGCAGUGUGUCUCUGAGCUGGGCACUGGGUCAAAUUUUAGAAGCAUAGGCUAACGAGGUGUGAUGUUACUGGAAACUGCCAUGGGGGUGACACCAGAGCUCCAACUGCUUUUUUUUUUUUUAAUUUAUUAUUAUUAUACUUUAAGUUUUAGGGUACAUGUGCACAAUGUGCAGGUUAGUUACAUAUGUAUACAUGUGCCAUGCUGGUGCGCUGCACCCACUAACUCGUCAUCUAGCAUUAGGUAUAUCUCCCAGUGCUAUCCCUCUCCCCUCCCCCCACCCCACAACAGUCCCCAGAGUGUGAUGUUCCCCUUCCUGUGUCCAUGUGUUCUCAUUAUUCAAUUCCCACCUAUGAGUGAGAAUAUGCGGUGUUUGGUUUUUUGUUCUUGCAAUAGUUUACUGAGAAUGAUGAUUUC
rnacentral:lncRNA from 1 species